GUUUAUCUCCCUCCUUUGCUUUACCCAGCCAUUGGCCACACUUUCCCCGACCAGACGGGUGGUGGAGGCUUGUAGAUCUGAUCUGAAGACUGGGAAAUCCCUUGCGUCUCCAUUCACUUUGGGUUCGGAGGUCAUUUCCGACUCCACGCUUAGUGGAGUCCUUCCACACAAACUUCUCAAGGGCCAGCCUGCUGGUUUCUGCUGGCUAUUUCGUCAUCCACGAUUCUCUUGAUGUUCUUUUUUUUGCGCUUAUGAUAUGAUUGUACAUCAGAAAGCCCAGUUCAAUGGAAAAACUAUAUAAAAAGAAUUUAGUAAAUUAGCAAGAUAUAAAAUUAACACACUAAAAUCAACGCCCUUCAUAUAUGUGAAUAGUCAAUGAUAACGAGUUACGAGGUAUAAUGGAAGAGAAUACCGUAUUUACAAUAGCAAGAAAAAAAGUGAAAAUAGGAAUAAACAAGAAAUGAGCAAAACUUCUCUGGGGGAAUCGUUAAAACACUCCUAAAUGGCCAAGUGUACAUUAAACAAAUAGAAAGCAAUAUGCUGUUCUUGGAAAGACCCAAAGAGGUCAGUCCUCCCUAAAUAUGUAUGCAACUAUACUAUUCCAACAAAAAUAUCAACCAAUAUUGUUCUGGAAUUAGAUAACUUGAUUAUAAAGUUCAAGUAGGGACGUAAGAAUAGACAGGAAACCCAUGAAAAAGAACAAUGGUGAGGGACAGUCAUUUCAGAUACUGGAACAUACACGUAUUAUUUUAGUUUAUUAACGGAGAACGAAUAUACCAGAAAUAGAUGCAGGUAUAUAAGGAUAUUCAGUAAAUGAUGAAGGUGACAUCACAUAUAAAUGGGGAAAUGAAUCACUUAGAAGUUGUACGGGGAUGACAACCAUUUGGCAAAGCUAAACUGGAUUUGUAUUUCCCACCACACAUCACAAUCAAGAUAAAUUCUAAAUGGAUCUGAGAUCUAAAUGUAAAAAAUCCACCUAUACAUGUAUUAGAAAACAUGAAUAAUAAUUCUAACAAUGGGACUGGGGAAACGUUAUCUAACCAUAUGACUCAGAAUCCAAAAGCCAUACAAGUAACAAAUCUGACUACAUGAAAUUAAAAUGUAUUGCUUGUCAAAAAAAAAAUACCACAAGAAAAAGGUUUGCAACAUGUAGAGAAGAUGGCCAAAAGAUAGUUGACAGAAUAAAAAUGCUAGCACCCCUUGAACAUCUAUAAAAAUGUUCAACUUCACUCAAAAUAUGAACAUAUGAAUUGAAAACUAUGCUGAGUGAGGUACCAUUAGUCAUUAGAUUGGCAGUGGUCCAAGAGUUUGACAGUACACUCUACUCAUGAGGAAAGGGAAACUCUUAACAUAUUCCAGUGGGAAUGCAAAAUGGUACGACCCAUAGGUGGGAAAAAUAAUACUAUACAGCAAAAUUAUAUAUGUAAGUUUACCCUUUGUUCCUGCAAUACCACUUCUAGAAAUCCAUCUCAGAGUUACUUUGACAAAAAUAUAAAGUGACAUACACACAAGAUUAAAUGGGAUCGGGGGAGACCUGACUUUUAAAAUGCUAAAUAUGAGGGAAUGAAAUUGAGAAAUACUCAGGAGGAUAAAUGGAUCAAGGCUUUGUCAUUGAUUAUGUGGGGGUUAAGAGAACCAAAAAAAAGCCUGGCAUCAUCAGAGGAUGGUGGUCCCUCCACCAAGACCGGGGACACUAAAUGACAGGUAGCAUUUUGAGAAGAAAUGUAUGAGCUCAGCUUGGCCAUGUUAAGCUUGAAAUCCUGGAAAGCAUCACACUGUAGAUGUUGCUUUUUGUUAAUGGAUUGGUUUAGGGAUUUGUGGGUCUAGGAGUCAUGAGAAAAGAGUUAGCUUGAGAUCCAUAUUUUGGAGCUUCUACCUUUCAGUAAUUGUUAAAAUGAUUAAGAUAUCUCACGAAGUGUGUGGUGCUAAAAGACAGCCUAGGACAGAUUUCUGGAGUGCCCUUUUCAUAGACUCUUCUUUCAGGGCAUCUGGGGAGAAGGGAGAGAGAGAGCCCUCCUCAUACCUUGCCAGGUCUCAAAUCUUAUGUGAAGCCAUACAACAUCUCAGAAAACAACACACACAGAGAAAUUAUUGGACAACAACUUGAAUUCAUCCUGGAAGUGAACCUCAAGCUCACUUUGGGGUUCUUUUCUAGGCAUCUAGAAAAGAAAACUCAGGGUUUUCCAAGUUCCACUUGGCAUGACUUACUGCAAGAAGCUGAUAUGAAAGUCUCACUUAAAAAGUCAGCUUGCACCAAGGACGAUUGACUUGGCAUAGUUCCCAGGGACAUAGGUCAUCUCUCAGCUGUCUUUAAGAAAUGUGCAACAGAUUAAGAAAAAGUCUGAAAGCUAUUUCAAUAGGUCCAUGCUGUGUACAACUCCCAAGAUUCAGAGCUGAGUUGACCCUUUACUGGCUGGAGCCAGAUGCCAGGUGAGUCCUGUGUGGCUGCCAGAUACACUAUUUGCCGUUGGGGGCACUUCUUGUCACCUGUAGAAGGGUGGGGAACUGGGGACAAUUAGAUAUAGUUAAAUGAGGGUGACAUUUGCUGAAAAUUAGAGCUUAAAAUCCCAGUAUUACUGUGGAACACAUAAUGGGAGAGCUGAAAGCGGUUAUCCCUGCAAGGGCAGGGAUAAAGGGACAAAGGAGAAAAUACACAGGGACAACAAGUUAAAAAACCAAAGUAGAACAAAAAUAAAUAAUUCUGGCCAAUAACAUGUUAGCCAUUUCCCUGUAACUACACUAGAAAAGUGAUCUCAACUCUCUUAUCUCUCUCUGGAGAUAAUACUUGCUAUCUGAUAGACAUUUCUUCUUUAUUUUACCUUUCCUUCUGGAUCAUUCAGCUUUCUCUCCAAAUUCUUCAGUACAGACAGCCUCUUCCCUAUACUCUGAGAUGCUCCUAUACUCAGACCUGGAUUUCUUGGGCAGGAUGGUCAGGAACUACUCCAGUAACAGCAGUUCCAAGAUGUGUUACUUACUGUGUAUUGCUGCUCUCCAUCAUUGAUGGUGACGAGCCUGAAGCUGGAUGCAUGAGGCCCAAGUAAAUACCCAUAGUACUCUGUCUGAAGAACCCCUGACCAGAAGCUCCCUUUCUAUGUGGGCUAGAUUCUUUAACUAUUUGACAUUUCUCUGGUUCUUCUGUAAUUGGUCUGAAUACAUUCCUGGGUGAAACAGCUCAGAAGACUGGCUCACUGUAGCAGUAGGUGUACUUCAGGCUGAUGCUAAGGCAUAACGUUAGCAUUAUUGUUAAAGAAGAUCAACCCCAAACUGGAACAGAUUUACUCAGAGUGAAUGGCUGUGAUCAAGGCAAAGUAAAAAAAAAAUUGGAAAGUAAAAAAAA